AAUCAACGCUGGCGGCGUGCCUAACACAUGCAAGUCGAGCGAGAAAAGGGGGGCAACUCCCUGAGUACAGCGGCGCGCGGGUGAGUAACACGUGGGUAAUCUGCCCUGGAGUGGGGAAUAACACCGGGAAACCGCUGCUAAUACCGCAUACGAUCACGGAAUCUGCGGACGUUGUGAUGAAAGGAGCAAUUCGCUCUAGGAGGAGCCCGCGGCUGAUUAGCUAGUUGGUGAGGUAAUGGCUCACCAAGGCAACGAUCAGUAUCCGGUCUGAGAGGACGGGCGGACACACUGGAACUGAGACACGGUCCAGACUCCUACGGGAGGCAGCAGUGGGGAAUUUUUGGCAAUGGGGGCAACCCUGACCAAGCAACGCCGCGUGGGUGAUGAAGUCUCUUGGGACGUAAAACCCUUUCGACGGGGACGAAACCGCAAGGUUGACGGUACCCGUAGAAGAAGCCCCGGCUAACUCCGUGCCAGCAGCCGCCGCCGUAA
rnacentral:rRNA from 1 species